GCCAUCCUGACACAAAUGGCCGAGUGGUCUAAGGCACUAGACUCAAGGUAACUUAUCCCGUAGCAGGAAGUUGGGUGUUCUGGUCCACGGCAGUGGGCGCAAGUUCAAAUCCCACUUCUGACA